AAUAUUGGACAAUGGGGGAAACCCUGAUCCAGCGACGCCGCGUGUGUGAAGAAGGCCUGCGGGUUGUAAAGCACUUUUAGUGGGGAUGAAAAGCUCAGGGAUAACACCUCUGGGUCUUGACCUAACCCACAGAAAAAGCACCGGCUAACUCCGUGCCAGCAGCCGCGGUAAUACGAAGGGGGCGAGCGUUGUUCGGAAUUACUGGGCGUAAAGGGCGCGUAGGCGGCGACCCAAGUCAGAUGUGAAAGUCCUGGGCUUAACCUGGGGACUGCAUUUGAUACUGGGUUGCUUGAAUUCGGGAGAGGAUAGCGGAAUUCCCAGUGUAGAGGUGAAAUUCGUAGAUAUUGGGAAGAACACCGGUGGCGAAGGCGGCUAUCUGGACCGACAUUGACGCUGAGGCGCGAAAGCGUGGGGAGCAAAC
rnacentral:rRNA from 1 species